AGAUGAUUCAUUACUCCCGGCUUUCAGCUUUCGCCCGAGAGCUUAGCCCUGGGUAGGAAAUGCCCUUCCAGCAGGUCAGAGAGAGGUACAUGAUUGCCUGGCUCCGUGUCUUGUCUCCUGCUUAGGAUUUCAGAUGAACAACCCUUGCACAGGUUCUCUGCCCGGGGUCAUUUAUCAUACAGAUGGCAGAGGAAGGGGGCGGGUAGGUGCUCUCAGGCAAGGUUGGAAAGUUACCUCUAAGGCAGAGACAAAGGAAGAGGCUUGGCCUUCUAAAGGCCCCCUGCACACAAGCUGGAACAGGAGAGAGACAGGAAGACCUGCAGAGGGAGAAAAGUGGAAAGGAACUGGACAAACCACCAUCUGAAGCAAGUACCUGCUUUGUGAGCCUGGACAAGUCCCUACAGAGGAACAGAGAAGAACACUGGUUAUGGGACUUGCCCAGUUACAGGGGCCGUCCACAGAGGAGUGUGUCUUAGAGCUCAAACCUCCGCCUGGCUGGCAUCUCACUUGUUCCUGGCUGACCCGGUGAAAAGCUCUCCCCAGCAUCCUCUACCAUAAUCAACACAGAGAGCUACCAUCUGUGGUCUGGCUUCACAGAUGUGGCGACUGAGGCUCAGAGUCAGUGUCCAGGGAAGUUCUAACUCCAUUCUGAAGCCAACAUUUACCAUCUCAGUGAGAUUCUUGCUUACGGUCUUCUUGGCAGCAUGAUCUUCUCUGCACACACCCACUGCCACUGACAACCUGGAUGAAGAAGCAGAGUGGUUCACUACAGGAAGUGGACCAAUUAGAAUCUUGCAUCAGGAAUUCCUGAAAGUCUAGAACACAGAUCUGUGUUGAAAUGCUACAUGUGGAAGAGGUCCCAGCUUGUUUGGAGUGACUCUUGCCCAGAUGAUUUCAUCAAGGGACUUCUGCGUGAGCUCUUUCAGGAAAUGAUUUCGUCUGAGAAGCACAGUGUAAGAGGCAUGAAGAAGUCAACUCUGCCACCUCCAAGUUAGAAAAAGAGGAAACUUGGCCAAAUCACACCCAGCAUCUGUGACCAAUGAGCCUUGAGUCAGGCCUGAAAGAGAAUUUAAAAGAAAAAAAAUCAAAAACAACAGUUGUCUCAAAUACCUUGCUCCUUGGGUACCUUGGUUGUAUGAGACUCUCUCUGCAUGGCACAAAUGGGCACCAGAGGGGCUAUUUCAGCCCUGCUAUGCCAGCCCUCAAUGUGGCACUACAGCUCUAUUUGUUUUGAGUUUAUACCAUGUGUACUCGGUGCAUGCACACAUUUUAUUGUCUCUGAAAUCAGGGUGUCUGUUAGUGGCAGUGACAUCUUUGAUUUACUCAUGUUGCAGGGGACACGUGCUAGCCAUGCAUCCUCAGAUCUCACUAGAGUUUUAUUACAAAGUUGUUAGCAAUAUUUUGUUUAAAAUUUUGCACAUGCUUUGUUGUCUUCUCAGCUGAAUACAAACACUUGACCUUUUGACAUCCUGGUAGAAUGUGCCUCUAAUUAUAAUGCACUACUAAAUAUAAAUACAACUUCUCUUUUUAACCCCUUUAUUUCCCCCAGAGAUAACCACCAGGGCUUAAGGGCCUGAUGUGUAUACUUUGAUUUCUGAACUCUCUAUAGAAGAUAUUUGUGUUUUUACAACAAUGGCAUCGUGCCAUGGAAAGAUCUGUAACAUGAUGUCCAUCACAUUGAAACUUAACAUCCUCUUUUGAGUCCAAAACAUGGCUCUCAUGUUUUGUGAUGACUGUAUGUGUUCUGUUGUGUGGGUGUAGCAUUAUUUAUAUACCUAAUCACCAAAUUUAUAUACCUAAUCAUCAAAUUACUCAUUGUAAAGGAUGGGUUCUGGUAAUUUUUGAUAAGCACUAAUUAUUUCUCACAUUUAUGCAUAUGUGUAUGCAUAUAUAUAAAAC
rnacentral:lncRNA from 1 species